rnacentral:piRNA from 1 species
AGCUCUAUUACUGAGUCUUCCAUUUAUGGUC